UACAGAGGGGGCGAGCGUUGUUCGGAAUUACUGGGCGUAAAGGGCGCGUAGGCGGCCUGCUAAGUCAUACGUGAAAUCCCUCGGCUCAACCGAGGAACUGCGUCUGAUACUGGUUGGCUUGAAUUCGGGAGAGGGAUGCGGAAUUCCAGGUGUAGCGGUGAAAUGCGUAGAUAUCUGGAGGAACACCGGUGGCGAAGGCGGCAUCCUGGACCGAGAUUGACGCUGAUGCGCGAAAGCCAGGGGAGCAAACAGG
rnacentral:rRNA from 1 species